UACGUAGGGGGCUAGCGUUGUCCGGAAUCAUUGGGCGUAAAGCGCGUGUAGGCGGCCCGGUAAGUCCGCUGUGAAAGUCGGGGGCUCAACCCUCGAAUGCCGGUGGAUACUGUCGGGCUCGAGUACGGAAGAGGCGAGUGGAAUUCCUGGUGUAGCGGUGAAAUGCGCAGAUAUCAGGAGGAACACCAAUUGCGAAGGCAGCUCGCUGGGACGUUACUGACGCUGAGACGCGAAAGCGUGGGGAGCGAACAGG
rnacentral:rRNA from 1 species